AACGAACGCUGGCGGCAGGCUUAACACAUGCAAGUCGAGCGCCCCGCAAGGGGAGCGGCAGACGGGUGAGUAACGCGUGGGAAUCUACCCAUAUCUACGGAAUAACGCAUGGAAACGUGUGCUAAUACCGUAUACGUCCUUCGGGAGAAAGAUUUAUCGGAGAUGGAUGAGCCCGCGUUGGAUUAGCUAGUUGGUGGGGUAAAGGCCUACCAAGGCGACGAUCCAUAGCUGGUCUGAGAGGAUGAUCAGCCACACUGGGACUGAGACACGGCCCAGACUCCUGCGGGAGGCAGCAGUGGGGAAUAUUGGACAAUGGGCGCAAGCCUGAUCCAGCCAUGCCGCGUGAGGGAUGAAGGCCCUAGGGUUGUAAAGCUCUUUCACCGGUAAAGAUAAUGACGGUAACCGGAGAAGAAGCCCCGGCUAACUUCGUGCCAGCAGCCGCAGUAAAAC
rnacentral:rRNA from 1 species